AAAGUUUUAAGUGCGGAAGCGAAAUAAAAAUUCUGAUUAACAUCCCUUACACAAUAACCAAAAACGUAUUCAACGUAUGAAAGAAUAAACUAACUAAGGUAAAUACGAGUAAUGAAUGCUAUAAAUAAAACUAUGAAAUUCUUAGAUGUCUACUCGCCGUCUUCCUGCGAGACGGGCUCGGGAACCAAAUCCUCCUUAUCUGAAAUGGUUAAAUAAGGAAUGAGCUACACUAGCCCAGUAAAGACAUCACACUAUCUCACUAUCACAGAAGUAAAGGUUGGUAGAAAAUAAAAACGACCAAUGGAGCAUAAUUCAUGAUAAAUUUAUUUAUCA
rnacentral:lncRNA from 1 species